AAAAGACAACGCUGUCACAAGGCUCGGGAAGCUCAGGAAACCAAAUCCCAACCAGACCCACAGGAAAAUACCCCUCCAUGUGCCCCCACGCGCCGAUCAGAGGUGGGAAUUUUCCGGCGAGAUAUGUUCACGCGCUGGCGUGUGAGUGGUUCUCUAGUCACUUUUUUUUGAGAAUUAUUCUUCUGUUGGGGUAGCCCACUAUUUCCGACUAGAACCCGACCAUUUUUCUCUAGAUCCGAUCACUGGAAUUAAGGUUCCGGUGAUUUUCAGGCCGUUUCCAGCAAGAUUUCGGUGAAAUCAGAAUUUUCAGGCCACUAUGGGCAAAUUCCGGCAGCUUCCAAUAUUUUUAGACUAGUGUUGCACUUCCGGCAUUUUCUGACGUACAUACCAGUCUAUGGAGAAUAGAAGAGGGAGAGAACAAUUUGUAAAACCUCAAUCCAGGUGUAGUCAUUGUCAUAACCCGGACACACUCGUGACAUAUGUUAUAUUUUGCAUGGUCCA
rnacentral:misc_RNA from 1 species